rnacentral:lncRNA from 1 species
GGGCUUUUCCCGCGUGCUCCGGGAGCUGAAGGACGUUCCCGGGGAAGCCGCUGCUGGCGCGUGGGGGUCCCGGUGUCUUCGGAGGACACGCUGGGAUCUCCGGGAUCCCGCAGCCUGCGGCGCUGGCGGGGGGCGGCCCUGCCGGAGGGAUACGUAAGGCACCGAGGCGUGCCGGUUCACAGCGUUCCCGAACCGUUUAGCCGAGAGUCGGGGCGUCGCUGCCCGACACGGGGGAGGGGCGCACCUCCCGGCAGACCACGCCCCUCGGCCAAAUCCCGCCCCUUCCUGGCCUCAGCCCCGCCCCCUCGGCCGGCGCAGCGUCCCCGCGGCCACCCUACGCUCCCGCCUGCCUUGCGCUCCUCUGUCCCCUUUUCUAGCGGCUUAAAAUACUGAAACUUUAUUUUGGUCACGUUGCCCAUGUGACCGGCGGAGCCGAUGAGUCAUAGGUGCCUGUCCCAGGCUGCAGCCGCGGAUCUAGGGCUCGGAACGCUCGACCUCGGCUAGCCUAGCCAAUCCCUCCCGGGCUCCCGGCGCUUCGGUCGGGUUCCAGCCGCAGCUCCGCGCAGCUCUCCUGCCUGUAGGUCCACACCGGAGAGAUUCGCACGCCCUGCAGACACAAGCCCGGGCCAGAAGAGCUGCAAAGUACUGCGCCUUCUCGAGAGAAAUCAGGGGCUCUGAACGUGGCCAGAAAAUAGAGGAAAGGAUGGAAGGAGAGAGGGAGGGGAAGGGCAGAGUGCAGGAAUUCCGCACAUAGAAAAAUAAAAGGGAAGGAGAAGAGGGAGGGCAAACACCAUGCAGGGAUUCUGCAGGUGCACUGAAGGGAAGCGGGAGGGAAGGAAGGAGAAUGCACUUUAAUGAAAAGCAGCUGAGCUCCAGAUCCUCUCUGUAAACUUGCACUGUUUGAUUCCUCAACAUUUUUUUCUCUCUCUCUCCGUUUGCUACUAGCAGAAACACUGAAAAGUCGAUCGAGUGUUUUGGCGUUAGGAUUGAUCGUCAAAGCCAGUCUGUGCCAAUCCUAACAACGUGUGGUCUUCUUAUGAUGGUCACCGUUGAGAAUUGCUUAGGUUGUUCCAAAAAUAAAGAUGUCCCAAAAGAA